AGAACCCUUGCGGAACGGCUCGAUGGAUGAAACCAUGCCUCCUUGGCUCAUUUCAACAAACUUCAAUCAAUAGUUUUUAAAAAAAUAAAAAAAAGCACAAGGAGACCUAUUAGUCUGGCUCAAAAUCAAUAUAUAUAAAGCGCUUCCAGGUACUGCAACACGUGGCUCGUUCCCCGCUCACCCGUAGCGACAGAAAUUACCAGCCGGUCACCUAUCAGCUUCCGACAACGUCGAAAUCACUUGGUUCUGUUCCGAAAUCACCGGAAGGACAAUCCACCGCCUCGUUGAUGAUUCCCGACACGUCACAAAAGGCAGAACACACCGCCCGGCCAGAAAACACCAAAAUGUCCGGCUCCUCGGAUCGACCCUGUUAAAACAAAAGAUUACACUCUUAUUACUCUUCAAACAAAGAUAUUAGACCUGCCGUAAACAGGCAGUCGUUAAAAAUUAAUUAUUGUUAUAGUUUCAAUAAUAAAAAAGAGGUUCUACACCACGAA